AGAGUUUGAUCAUGGCUCAGAUUGAACGCUGGCGGCAGGCCUAACACAUGCAAGUCGAACGGUAACAGAAAGCAGCUUGCUGCUUUGCUGACGAGUGGCGGACGGGUGAGUAAUGUCUGGGAAACUGCCUGAUGGAGGGGGAUAACUACUGGAAACGGUAGCUAAUACCGCAUAACGUCGCAAGACCAAAGAGGGGGACCUUAGGGCCUCUUGCCAUCGGAUGUGCCCAGAUGGGAUUAGCUUGUUGGUGGGGUAACGGCUCACCAAGGCGACGAUCCCUAGCUGGUCUGAGAGGAUGACCAGCCACACUGGAACUGAGACACGGUCCAGACUCCUACGGGAGGCAGCAGUGGGGAAUAUUGCACAAUGGGCGCAAGCCUGAUGCAGCCAUGCCGCGUGUAUGAAGAAGGCCUUCGGGUUGUAAAGUACUUUCAGCGGGGAGGAAGGGAGUAAAGUUAAUACCUUUGCUCAUUGACGUUACCCGCAGAAGAAGCACCGGCUAACUCCGUGCCAGCAGCCGCGGUAAUACGGAGGGUGCAAGCGUUAAUCGGAAUUACUGGGCGUAAAGCGCACGCAGGCGGUUUGUUAAGUCAGAUGUGAAAUCCCCGGGCUCAACCUGGGAACUGCAUCUGAUACUGGCAAGCUUGAGUCUCGUAGAGGGGGGUAGAAUUCCAGGUGUAGCGGUGAAAUGCGUAGAGAUCUGGAGGAAUACCGGUGGCGAAGGCGGCCCCCUGGACGAAGACUGACGCUCAGGUGCGAAAGCGUGGGGAGCAAACAGGAUUAGAUACCCUGGUAGUCCACGCCGUAAACGAUGUCGACUUGGAGGUUGUGCCCUUGAGGCGUGGCUUCCGGAGCUAACGCGUUAAGUCGACCGCCUGGGGAGUACGGCCGCAAGGUUAAAACUCAAAUGAAUUGACGGGGGCCCGCACAAGCGGUGGAGCAUGUGGUUUAAUUCGAUGCAACGCGAAGAACCUUACCUGGUCUUGACAUCCACGGAAGUUUUCAGAGAUGAGAAUGUGCCUUCGGGAACCGUGAGACAGGUGCUGCAUGGCUGUCGUCAGCUCGUGUUGUGAAAUGUUGGGUUAAGUCCCGCAACGAGCGCAACCCUUAUCCUUUGUUGCCAGCGGUCCGGCCGGGAACUCAAAGGAGACUGCCAGUGAUAAACUGGAGGAAGGUGGGGAUGACGUCAAGUCAUCAUGGCCCUUACGACCAGGGCUACACACGUGCUACAAUGGCGCAUACAAAGAGAAGCGACCUCGCGAGAGCAAGCGGACCUCAUAAAGUGCGUCGUAGUCCGGAUUGGAGUCUGCAACUCGACUCCAUGAAGUCGGAAUCGCUAGUAAUCGUGGAUCAGAAUGCCACGGUGAAUACGUUCCCGGGCCUUGUACACACCGCCCGUCACACCAUGGGAGUGGGUUGCAAAAGAAGUAGGUAGCUUAACCUUCGGGAGGGCGCUUACCACUUUGUGAUUCAUGACUGGGGUGAAGUCGUAACAAGGUAACCGUAGGGGAACCUGCGGUUGGAUCACCU
rnacentral:rRNA from 1 species